rnacentral:sRNA from 1 species
GGCCAACAACGUCCAAUGGGAUAAAGUGAGAGCUCCUCCAAUUGAUACGCUUCCAUAUGUCAGAUACGUCUCUGAUUGUUUGUCAGAGCUGAAACCAGGUGAUCAUAUUGAGAUCCAACGGAGAUACAGAAGAGAAACUUCUUAUGAUUGGUGCUAUGCUGUUAUUGGUCACAUAGAAUCCUGUAAUGAAAAUGAGAACUUGUGCAACUGUCGCCAUUCGGAUACAUUGAUGUUGGAGUUCAAGCAAUACUCUGAAGGAUCAAGAAUGAGACGAGUAAAGCUACAGAGAAAUGGGGAAGAAUAUGAAGAACCUAGUGGAUGCUAUGGAGGAAUUAGAAAGCUUCGGAGCGAGGAGGAGAUCCAAAGAUGGGAGAAACAUGUCCCACUUCGUCGAACUACUGUUUCUAUACCUUUGCAAGUUGGCUUUUAUAAUAACGUCUUGG